GUGGGAUAGCCAGAGGGUACAUCCUGGGAGUAUAGCUUAGGUGGGAUAGCCAGAGGGUACAUCCUGGGAGUAUAGCUUAGGUGGGAUAGCCAGAGGGUACAUCCUGGGAGUAUAGCUUAGGUGGGAUAGCCAGAGGGUACAUCCUGGGAGUAUAGCUUAGGUGGGAUAGCCAGAGGGUACAUCCUGGGAGUAUAGCUUAGGUGGGAUAGCCAGAGGGUACAUCCUGGGAGUACCAGCUUAGGUGGGAUAGCCAGAGGGUACAUCCUGGGAGUAUAUCUUAGGUGGGAUAGCCAGAGGGUACAUCCUGGGAGUAUAGCUUAGGUGGGAUAGCCAGAGGGUACAUCCUGCGAGUACAGCUUAGGUGGGAUAACCAGAGGGUACAUCAUGGGAGUGCAGUAGGUCCUGGAAUGUUCAGGGUAGUUUGGAUACUUUGCAAGUUUUUGUGGUCAAUUUGAAAUUGAAGCCUGUUAAUUCAGGAAGUAAACUGAGAUUGCAAUUCAAUAACUGAAAAAGGACAUCUAUUUUCAAUGACAUCUCAAUAAAUGUCAAAGUAAAAGCUAUUUAUUAAAAAUAAAUCCACUUUUGAAGUUUUAAAUUCAAAUUGCUUUCUUAAUUGAAAUAUCUUCCAUUAGAAUUGACACAACACUGACGCUUCUGUGGACAAGGAUUCAGGGUACCUGAUCAUCACCCACCAAAGAUGAGGAAUUUGAAUUGGGAGGGGACACCGGUUAAUAACAGAGCAGCUGUUAGGGGGGAAUGUCUGAAGAGUUAAGACCCUCCCGGGGGAACAUUUGGAAGGCAGCUGAGUAAGCGUGUGUGAACAGGGUGUGUGUGUGUGUGUGUGUGUGUGUGUGUGUGUGUGUGUGUG